ensembl:lncRNA
AAAUUGUCACUUGCCACCAGCCAAAAGUGGGAAAAUGUUUGCAGUGGCAGAGUCUGUAAGCCAUCUGGCCUGAGCUGACGUACAGACGAAAGGAAAAUUGCCCCACAGUUGGUGUAGACGGAACACCAGGGGCAGAGUGCAUGAUCAGGAUGAGGGUUCUCUUCAGAAACAUCCAGCACAGACCUUUUGAUGUGCAAAGUGGAUGAGCAGACCAGACCAAGAAGGCCAGGGUUUUUAUGCACUACAUUGCUGAUGUGUAAGGAGGCCUGGGAUUGCAACAAGCUGGCUCACUAUUCUAGGACCUCAAAGUUCUUCUGUACUCAACACAAAAUGUC